rnacentral:rRNA from 1 species
GGAGGGUGCAAGCGUUAAUCGGAAUUACUGGGCGUAAAGCGCACGCAGGCGGUCUGUCAAGUCGGAUGUGAAAUCCCCGGGCUCAACCUGGGAACUGCAUUCGAAACUGGCAGGCUAGAGUCUUGUAGAGGGGGGUAGAAUUCCAGGUGUAGCGGUGAAAUGCGUAGAGAUCUGGAGGAAUACCGGUGGCGAAGGCGGCCCCCUGGACAAAGACUGACGCUCAGGUGCGAAAGCGUGGGGAGCAAACAGGAUUAGAUACCCCGGUAGUCCACGCUGUAAACGAUGUCGACUUGGAGGUUGUUCCCUUGAGGAGUGGCUUCCGGAGCUAACGCGUUAAGUCGACCGCCUGGGGAGUACGGCCGCAAGGUUAAAACUCAAAUGAAUUGACGGGGGCCCGCACAAGCGGUGGAGCAUGUGGUUUAAUUCGAUGCAACGCGAAGAACCUUACCUACUCUUGACAUCCAGAGAACUUAGCAGAGAUGCUUUGGUGCCUUCGGGAACUCUGAGACAGGUGC